CGUCGAGCGGCGGACGGGUGAGUAAUGCUUGGGAAUAUGCCUUAUGGUGGGGGACAACAGUUGGAAACGACUGCUAAUACCGCAUGAUGUCUACGGACCAAAGUGGGGGACCUUCGGGCCUCACGCCAUAAGAUUAGCCCAAGUGGGAUUAGCUAGUUGGUGAGGUAAUGGCUCACCAAGGCGACGAUCCCUAGCUGGUUUGAGAGGAUGAUCAGCCACACUGGGACUGAGACACGGCCCAGACUCCUACGGGAGGCAGCAGUGGGGAAUAUUGCACAAUGGGCGCAAGCCUGAUGCAGCCAUGCCGCGUGUGUGAAGAAGGCCUUCGGGUUGUAAAGCACUUUCAGUAAGGAGGAAAGGUUAAGUGUUAAUAGCACUUAGCUGUGACGUUACUUACAGAAGAAGCACCGGCUAACUCCGUGCCAGCAGCCGCGGUAAUACG
rnacentral:rRNA from 1 species